CACGUAGGGCGCAAGCGUUGUCCGGAAUUAUUGGGCGUAAAGAGCUCGUAGCGGUCUGUUGCGUCCGCUGUGAAAACUCGGGGCUUAACCCCGAGCCUGCAGUGGAUACGGGCAGACUAGAGGUAGGUAGGGGAGAAUGGAAUUCCCGGUGUAGCGGUAGAAAUGCGCAGAUAUCAGGAAGAACACCCGUGGCGAAGGCGGCUCUCUGGGACGGUACUGACGCUGAGACGCGAAAGCGUGGGGAGCGAACAGG
rnacentral:rRNA from 1 species